rnacentral:rRNA from 1 species
GUACACGCUGUGACUAGCAUAUCAAUAAGCGGAGGAAAAGAAACUAACAAGGAUUCCCCUAGUAACGGCGAGUGAAGCGGGAAGAGCUCAAAUUUGAAAUCUUAAAGGGUUUCCCUUUACGAAUUGUAGUUUAAAGAAGUGUUUUCUGUUGAGGUUUUGGUAAAAGUUCUUUGGAAUAGGACAUCAUAGAGGGUGAGAAUCCCGUAUUUGACCUUUACUUUCAACUUUGUGAUACACUUUCAAAGAGUCGGAUUGUUUGGGAAUGCAGUCCAAAAUGGGUGGUAAAUUUCAUCUAAAGCUAAAUAUUGGCGAGAGACCGAUAGCGAACAAGUACCGUGAGGGAAAGAUGAAAAGAACUUUGAAAAGAGAGUUAAACAGUACGUGAAAUUGUCAGAAGGGAAGCGUUUGACACCAGUGUUGUUUUUCUGAAAAUCAAUUAAAGAACUGUUUAUGCUAAGCUGUUUAGACUUUAUCAGCUAUCUGUUUAGUUUUGAGCUUUUCUUUAAUGCACUUUUCAGUUAACAAGUCAACAUCAAUUUCUUUUGCUGUAAAAAAGCUUGAGGAAGGUGGCUUGAGAUUCGUCUUAAGUGUUUAUAGCCUCUUGCCUAUGCAGUCGGAGAGAUUGAGGUCUGCAGCGUAGAUCCUUCGGGGCUAAAUGCAUUUGUGCUAAGUUAUAGCAUUUUAUAGACAACUUGUUGACUAUGAUUUGUCUUGUAGCUUACUCGCUUAUGUUAUUUUACCUACGCUUAGGAUGUUGAAGAUGUAGCACAUCAU